ACAGACUCACUUCUUGCUAGAUACCAGUGGAUGGACAGCAGACGUCAUUUCCGUAUCGUCAUUCACUUUUCAAUUUUGACGCGUCAUGCAGAUGUCUGCGGCAAAUCACAUUAGUGUGCGUAAAGGGAUGGAGCUACCACCAAUACAAAAAUGCACAGAGUGCUGCAGCCGGUAUCACUGCCCGCUGUGCAAUUCAAACACUGUGAGGUACUGUGGAAACAGAAGAUGUGGAGACCUGCGAGGGUUUUAUACAGACCCUGAAUUUCCUAAGAAUUGCCCAGACUGCCAGUUUUAGGGGGCAGGAAUGAGGUGUGGUGUGCACAGUGUGCAAUAGUUUAUUUGGAACUGUUCAUGUUUUAUUUC